rnacentral:piRNA from 1 species
UGUGCACAAACAAUAUAAUUGUAAAA